rnacentral:siRNA from 1 species
UUAUUAGGAUACUACAUGUCUGUC